rnacentral:rRNA from 1 species
GACGAACGCUGGCGGCGUGCCUAACACAUGCAAGUCGAACGAAGUAUAUUUUCGGAUAUGCUUAGUGGCGGACGGGUGAGUAACGCGUGAACAAUCUGCCCUAUACACAGGAAUAGCCUCGGGAAACUGGGAUUAAAACCGGAUAACACUUUUUAGCCCAUGGCUUAGAAGUCAAAUUGAUUUAGAGGUAUAGGAUGAGUUCGCGUCUGAUUAGCUAGUUGGUGAGGUAAUGGCUCACCAAGGCGACGAUCAGUAGCCGGCCUGAGAGGGUGAACGGCCACACUGGAACUGAGACACAGUCCAGACUCCUACGGGAGGCAGCAGUGGGGAAUAUUGCACAAUGGAGGAAACUCUGAUGCAGCGACGCCGCGUGAGUGAAGAAGGUCUUCGGAUCGUAAAACUCUGUCCUUGGUGAAGAAUAAAAUGACGGUAGCCAAGGAGGAAGCCCCGGCUAACUACGUGCCAGCAGCCGCGGUAAGAC